rnacentral:rRNA from 1 species
CAAAGGAAUAGACGGGGGCCCGCACAAGCAGUGGAGUAUGUGGUUUAAUUCGAAGCAACGCGAAGAACCUUACCAGGGCUUGACAUACCGAUGACCGGGUUAGAGAUAACCCUUCCCUUCGGGGCAUCGGAUACAGGUGGUGCAUGGUUGUCGUCAGCUCGUGUCGUGAGAUGUUGGGUUAAGUCCCGCAACGAGCGCAACCCCUGUUGUUAGUUGCCAUCAUUAAGUUGGGCACUCUAACAAGACUGCCGGUGACAAAUCGGAGGAAGGUGGGGAUGACGUCAAAUCAUCAU